AUUGAACGCUGGCGGCAGGCUUAACACAUGCAAGUCGAGCGGGGUGAUGGUGCUUGCACUAUCACUUAGCGGCGGACGGGUGAGUAAUGCUUGGGAAUCUGCCUAUUAGUGGGGGACAACAUCUCGAAAGGGAUGCUAAUACCGCAUACGUCCUACGGGGGAAAGCAGGGGAUCACUUGUGACCUUGCGCUAAUAGAUGAGCCUAAGUCGGAUUAGCUAGUUGGUGGGGUAAAGGCCUACCAAGGCGACGAUCUGUAGCGGGUCUGAGAGGAUAAUCCGCCACACUGGGACGGAGACACGGCCCAGACUCCUACGGGAGGCAGCAGUGGGGAAUAUUGGACAAUGGGGGGAACCCUGAUCCAGCCAUGCCGCGUGUGUGAAGAAGGCCUUAUGGUUGUAAAGCACUUUAAGCGAGGAGGAGGCUCUUUUGGUUAAUACCCAGAAUGAGUGGACGUUACUCGCAGAAUAAGCACCGGCUAACUCUGUGCCAGCCGCCGCUGUAA
rnacentral:rRNA from 1 species